rnacentral:tRNA from 3 species
GUCAGGAUGGCCGAGCGGUCUAAGGCGCUGCGUUCAGGUCGCAGUCCGGUCUUCCGGGCGUGGGUUCGAAUCCCACUCCUGACA